UAUGCGCUUCAUAAAUUGCUCCAAUGUAUGUUUUGCGGAUAUCUAGUAAUGAUUAUAAGACGCGCCAAUCAAUUUGACUCAGACUGGAAAUUUCAUUCGUUAUAUGGAAAUCCUGUAAAAAUAACGUUAACAAGAGUUUUAUGUUUCAUAAGAUUAUCUCAUAUAUUUGACAUGAUGUUGAACACAUCUUGUAACUAUUAUUGGAAGUGCCAAUAGUGCAAAAUCAUUAGAAUAUCAUAUAAUGUGAAAAAGAAAAUUUAGCUCAGUGUGGAAUUAGAUGACGGAAGUCAGCGGCAUACAUCGGAAUUCGAAUUCAACUCAUCACUCUUCAUCACUAACGCUUUCAUAAAAGGUUCUUUUCAGAGCCAUCAUUAUUUUAUUAUAAAAAACUAUACUGGUUAUUUCAUAAUAUUUGUGUUUCAGAAUGUUAAAUGUAACUAAUCUGUACUUUAGUUUAGGUGCAUCGUUUCAAAUUCUACAUACAAUUUCAUACAAUUGAUAUUCGGAAGUAUUAAGGAACAUGUCAAUUGUUUUCGUAUUCACGACAUCCAGUUAUGUCUCUUACAUUACCCAUCUGCCUUUUUUCCGCUUACAAUUUUCUGUGAAUCCGUUGAACCAUUCUCCGUCGUUGUUAAGUGGCGAUCAAUGUCCCCAGUUAGUCAAUACAUCCGCGAUAUUGAGUUUAGUUGGAACCCAACGCCAAUCAGUUACUCUAGUUAGUUCCAGUAUUUCUCCAAUUCUGAAAGCAACGAAUUGAUUGAAUUUGUACUGAUCUGACUGCAGCCAGCUGCACACCGAACGAGAGUCCGUCCACAACACACACCGCUUGAUUUCUGUAGAGAGCAUUUCUAGAACCGUUUGACUCAGUCGAGCACCGAGUACUGCCGCCAAUAAUUCCAGUCGAGGAACUGAUUGUCGUUUCAGGGCAGCAACUUUCGCCCGAGACAUAACCAAGCUACAUAGUACUUUCCCAUGGAUUUCCGCGCGCAGCCAUAUGCCAAUUCACUGGCAUCAGUGAAGAUAUGGAGUUCUAGUGAAUCAACGGCGAUGAUGGAGCGUUUCCGAUAAAGCAUUGUGUGAUCCGAACUGCUUCUAUUUCUGGCAGUAGACCAGUGCAGCGCUUCCAUAAUCUCCAGCUCUCGUCGUCGAUUUCAUUUGAUGCUGAAUUAUUAUUUUUCCGUGGAUUGUGAAGUGUGACAGCAGCACCAUCGGGUCGAAAAAUCCCAUCACGCAGCUUAGCGCAAGUUGCUUCGUUGGCCGUUUUCCAUCGUACAGAUAUGCCAGCAUUUCCGGUCGGUGCAACGUUGAGAAAGAGUAUUCGUCCAAGUCUGGAUCCCAAAUGACACCAAGAACACCCAUUUUCGAAUUUCAAAUCCACCAUGUUUGUGUAUCAGGUGUACUUGCUUCGCUAUAUUUACCGCCUCUUCAAUAGUGUCGACGCUGUCGAAGUAAUCAUCGACGUAAUGACGAUGGAUGAUUGCCGACGCUGCUCGUGGGAUAUUGAACUGCGUGUUGUUCCGCAUUUAUGUUCUUGACAUACUGCGCCGAACUUGGAGAGCAAGUGGCGUCAAACGUAGCAUCAUUCAUAACGAAAAUGUUGGUGGUACGUUUCACGGAGAUCGCCACCGAACGCUAUCCGUCGCUCUCGAAACCCUACAAUCACUUUCACUAGCGGAACCAACAGGUCGGGCCCUUCAACAGCUGCAGGUUGAGAGACACUCCCUGCACCGUAGCUGCAGCAUCCCAUACUAGACGAAUCAUGCCUGGUUUUCUGGGAUUUGUCACCGCGUUUAACGUUUGUUUUUCAGGUUUCGGUAAAGCAGUCAAAGUCUGGUACAACUCACACGGUGUAGCUGCAAGUAAGUUGGGAAGCGAGUGUCAUAUUCGUUGAUGGCAAACGAACCAACUUCGGCUAUACCGGUCAUCUGAAUCCAGUUUCGGAAGAAUUGAAAAUUAUUAUUCAAAACUGCAAAAAGGAUCUCACUCACUUUACUUCAAGAUGGCCUAAUCGAUGAUCACAAAUUUGUAUGUUUAAAGCAAAAGUCCUACAGUUGCAUAUGGAGUUCCGAAAUUUGUUGUGGAUACUACUUCCGGUUCCAGAACUACACAUUCUCCAAAUGGUGAUGACACAAUUUACUGGAUCCGUCAAAGAUACAUAACGAUGGUAUGUAUCGUGAUUACUAUAUAUGUGAAAUUCAAAAUUAGGCAGUAAGUAAGUAAUUAAUUUAUAAAUCAGAAAUAAAUUCUAAGGGUCUAAACGAUGAAAAAUAUCAUCAUUUGUGAGAAUUUAUCGUGCAACAGUUAUCGUGUAACAAAAUAAAUUCAAAUUUUUUGCAUGAUAAAAAGCAUCAUUCGAACAAAAUUUUGUAAUUUUCUCGUGGAAAAAUAUAAAGAAAUAAGUCCGUGAAGAGGCAUUUUUGAGAACGCUUCUUAAAAAUUAUGAUUUGCGGUGUCCACUGUA